rnacentral:rRNA from 1 species
UACGUAGGGUGCAAGCGUUAAUCGGAAUUACUGGGCGUAAAGCGUGCGCAGGCGGUGAUGUAAGACAGAUGUGAAAUCCCCGGGCUCAACCUGGGAACUGCAUUUGUGACUGCAUCGCUGGAGUGCGGCAGGGGGGGAUGGAAUUCCGCGUGUAGCAGUGAAAUGCGUAGAUAUGCGGAGGAACACCGAUGGCGAAGGCAAUCCCCUGGGCCUGCACUGACGCUCAUGCACGAAAGCGUGGGGAGCAAACAGG